AGUAGGAGUACUCUGAUACCAGAUUGUUACAUCAACGAGUAUAUAGCCUUGGCCGACAGGCCCGGGAAAUCUUUGAAAUUUCAUCGUGAUGGGGAUAGAUCAUUGCAAUUGUUGGUCUUAAACGAGGAAUUCCUAGUAAGCGCGAGUCAUCAGCUCGCGUUGACUACGUCCC
rnacentral:ncRNA from 1 species